UCGAGCGAGCUUAUGUCGGCUCAAAUUCGGCUUGAAAUUAAUUUCGAGCCUAAAUCUAGGCUCAAGCUCGGCUUGAAAUUAAUUCGAGCCGAGCUCGAGCGAGCCUAAUUUCGAGUCGAGCCGAGCUCGAGCUCUAAACGAGCCGAUUGAAAUUCUCGACAUUAUAUGAUCAAUAGUUUAAUUUUUAUAGAACAUUACCUACAAUUUGAUGCAACAUGUCCAAUAGUUCAAAAUACAAAAUAAUUGCAAGAAAUAUGAGCUAGGAUGCCUGUCUGACCGGGUGAGGGUCAAAGAAAGAGAGAGAAAGAGAGAGGAGAAAAAAAAUAGGAAUUUGAAAAUUUGAAUGUUAUCAUGUUUUAGGGUUAUGUACAAAAGUGAAAGUCUGAAAGAGAGAGUGUGUUAUGUAAAUUUAGAGUUGGGUUCAAUUGCAGCGUUG
rnacentral:lncRNA from 1 species